UUGAACGCUGGCGGCAUGCCUUACACAUGCAAGUCGAACGGCAGCACGGGUGCUUGCACCUGGUGGCGAGUGGCGAACGGGUGAGUAAUACAUCGGAACAUGUCCUGUAGUGGGGGAUAGCCCGGCGAAAGCCGGAUUAAUACCGCAUACGAUCUACGGAUGAAAGCGGGGGACCUUCGGGCCUCGCGCUAUAGGGUUGGCCGAUGGCUGAUUAGCUAGUUGGUGGGGUAAAGGCCUACCAAGGCGACGAUCAGUAGCUGGUCUGAGAGGACGACCAGCCACACUGGGACUGAGACACGGCCCAGACUCCUACGGGAGGCAGCAGUGGGGAAUUUUGGACAAUGGGCGAAAGCCUGAUCCAGCAAUGCCGCGUGUGUGAAGAAGGCCUUCGGGUUGUAAAGCACUUUUGUCCGGAAAGAAAUCCUUGGCUCUAAUACAGUCGGGGGAUGACGGUACCGGAAGAAUAAGCACCGGCUAACUACGUGCCAGCAGCCGCGGUAAUACGUAGGGUGCGAGCGUUAAUCGGAAUUACUGGGCGUAAAGCGUGCGCAGGCGGUUUGCUAAGACCGAUGUGAAAUCCCCGGGCUCAACCUGGGAACUGCAUUGGUGACUGGCAGGCUAGAGUAUGGCAGAGGGGGGUAGAAUUCCACGUGUAGCAGUGAAAUGCGUAGAGAUGUGGAGGAAUACCGAUGGCGAAGGCAGCCCCCUGGGCCAAUACUGACGCUCAUGCACGAAAGCGUGGGGGAGCAAACAGGAUUAGAUACCCUGGUAGUCCACGCCCUAAACGAUGUCAACUAGUUGUUGGGGAUUCAUUUCCUUAGUAACGUAGCUAACGCGUGAAGUUGACCGCCUGGGGAGUACGGUCGCAAGAUUAAAACUCAAAGGAAUUGACGGGGACCCGCACAAGCGGUGGAUGAUGUGGAUUAAUUCGAUGCAACGCGAAAAACCUUACCUACCCUUGACAUGGUCGGAAUCCCGCUGAGAGGUGGGAGUGCUCGAAAGAGAACCGGCGCACAGGUGCUGCAUGGCUGUCGUCAGCUCGUGUCGUGAGAUGUUGGGUUAAGUCCCGCAACGAGCGCAACCCUUGUCCUUAGUUGCUACGCAAGAGCACUCUAAGGAGACUGCCGGUGACAAACCGGAGGAAGGUGGGGAUGACGUCAAGUCCUCAUGGCCCUUAUGGGUAGGGCUUCACACGUCAUACAAUGGUCGGAACAGAGGGUUGCCAACCCGCGAGGGGGAGCUAAUCCCAGAAAACCGAUCGUAGUCCGGAUUGCACUCUGCAACUCGAGUGCAUGAAGCUGGAAUCGCUAGUAAUCGCGGAUCAGCAUGCCGCGGUGAAUACGUUCCCGGGUCUUGUACACACCGCC
rnacentral:rRNA from 1 species